GUGAACGCUGGCGGUAUGGAUAAGGCAUGCAAGUCACGGGGGCCGCAAGGCAACCGGCAGACGAGGUAGUAACACGUAGGAACGUCCCCCAGAGUCUGGUAUAGCUCGCCGAAAGGUGAGGUAAUCCCAGAUAGUCUCGUAAGAGUAAAGCUCCGGCGCUCUGGGAGCGGCCUGCGUAAUAUCAGCUAGUUGGUGAGGUAAUGGCUCACCAAGGCUAUGACGUUUAGGGGAGCUGAGAGGCUGACCCCCACCGAUGAGACUGAGACACGGCUCAUACCCCUACGGGGGGCCGCAGCCGAGAAUAUUCGACAAUGGGCGAAAGCCUGAUCGAGCGAUACCGCGUGGUGGAUGAAGUGCUUCGGCACGUAAACAUCUUUUAUGAGGGAAGAAGUUAUUGACAUUACCUCAUGAAUAAGGGGCUCCUAACUCUGU
rnacentral:rRNA from 1 species